rnacentral:rRNA from 1 species
AGAGUUUGAUCCUGGCUCAGAUUGAACGCUGGCGGCAUGCUUAAUACAUGCAAGUCGAACGGUAACAGAUUCUUCGGAAUGCUGACGAGUGGCGGACGGGUGAGUAAUACAUAGGAAUCUGCCCAUGUAGUGGGGGACAACUUGGGGAAACUCAAGCUAAUACCGCAUAAUUCCUACGGGAUAAAGAGGGCCACUGCUUGCAAGCUCUUGCUACCGGAUGAGCCUAUGUCGGAUUAGUUAGUUGGUAAGGUAAUGGCUUACCAAGACAGCGAUCCGUAGCUGGUUUGAGAGGAUGAUCAGCCACACUGGGACUGAGACACGGCCCAGACUCCUACGGGAGGCAGCAGUAGGGAGUAUUGGACAAUGGGCGCAAGCCUGAUCCAGCAAUGCCGCGUGUGUGAAGAAGGCCUGCGGGUUGUAAAGCACUUUCAAUUGGGAAGAAAGAUUAUGAGUUAAUACCUUAUAAUAUUGACG